rnacentral:rRNA from 1 species
AGUCACGCUGUAAACGAUGUCGAUUUGGAGGUUGUUCCCUGAGGAGUGGCUUCCGGAGCUAACGCGUUAAAUCGACCGCCUGGGGAGUACGGCCGCAAGGUUAAAACUCAAAUGAAUUGACGGGGGCCCGCACAAGCGGUGGAGCAUGUGGUUUAAUUCGAUGCAACGCGAAGAACCUUACCUACUCUUGACAUCCAGAGAAUUUAGCAGAGAUGCUUUAGUGCCUUCGGGAACUCUGAGACAGGUGCUGCAUGGCUGUCGUCAGCUCGUGUUGUGAAAUGUUGGGUUAAGUCCCGCAACGAGCGCAACCCUUAUCCUUUGUUGCCAGCACAUUAUGGUGGGAACUCAAAGGAGACUGCCGGUGAUAAACCGGAGGAAGGUGGGGAUGACGUCAAGUCAUCAUGGCCCUUACGAGUAGGGCUACACACGUGCUACAAUGGCGUAUACAAAGAGAAGCGACCUCGCGAGAGCAAGCGGAACUCAUAAAGUACGUCGUAGUCCGGAUUGGAGUCUGCAACUCGACUCCAUGAAGUCGGAAUCGCUAGUAAUCGUAGAUCAGAAUGCUACGGUGAAUACGUUCCCGGGCCUUGUACACACCGCCCGUCACACCAUGGGAGUGGGUUGCAAAAGAAGUAGGUAGCUUAACCUUCGGGAGGGCGCUUACCACUUUGUGAUUCAUGACUGGGGUGAAGUCGUAACAAGGUAACCA